GCUAAUCAGAAGCCUCCGAGUCUACAAUGCGAGAAACAGGAGAUGGAUUGUGCGGACACCAAGGCUGUGUCUGCAAGCCAGUGUGAGAGGCACUGGCAGCGAGGAAGAUGGAGAGAAGAUCACGUGUCGGCAGGCAUUGAACGAGGUCGAGGGGGGUUGAGAAGGAGUGUGCGGUAGAGGUCGCAGACUUGGUGGGAUUGUGAGAUGGGAAGAGCUGCCAAUCUCCAUGCAGUUUCGUUGUGAAAUCCUUGUCGGUACAUUUCCACGACGAAGUCGCGACUGGGCAGGCGCGUGGAGGGUGGCGGUGGAGUUCUGUAGACCCGCCCUCCAGCACGGGAAGUCUGUGCAAUCAGAACUUCCAUCGUACAUGUUUGCUUCAUGCAAGUCAGCCCAACGCUGGUCUGCGCAACGUUAGUCUGCAGAACCGCCAUGUCGGCACAGCGCCUGUGUGCACAACGCUUCUAAAAAGCCCGUGAGUCUAGAAUGCGAGCAACAGGGACAGUGGUAUGCAUGCACCAAGGCGGUGUCGGGAAGCCAGUUUGAGAGGCGUAGUCAGCGACGGAGACAGAGCGAUGGUCGCGCGUCGGCAGACAUUCAACUGGGUGGAAGGGGGGCGUGAUGGAGUCUAUGAUAGAGCUGGAUGACAUGGUGGGUUCCAGAGAGAAUCUUUGGGGUGGCAUGGCUGGACUCGACUACGGCAGUAGAAGCCGUAGCAGCAGCAAUCUGCGACGCUGACGUGUGGUUGUCAGGCCAUCGAUUGUUGGAAAAGGUCAUGCAGUUCCGUUGCGGACUUUUUGUCGGUAGUUUGCCACGACGACAAUGCGAAUGGGCAGCCGCAUCGAGGUUGACGUUGCAGUCCUGCAGUCUCUCUCCUGCUCACAAUGUCUGCACUAUCAGAAGCUCCGUUGCUACCAGAUCUAGUUCUAAGAUCAUGGUUGUUACCUCAAAUAUGAAGUUAACAAUACCAAGAUUGUUAACUUGUUAACAUACUUGUUGCAUAGAUAAUAGAUAAUGUUUUGGAUUUAGACGUUGCUCUAUGUUGUAUUUGAAUUGCUUUAUUACACAACAGAAUCUAGCUGCUUUUAUUUUCCAAAUAUAUAUUUCAUACAGAAGAAAAUAAAUAUAAUUGCUCAGAAUUUUUAUAAUUCAAAGCUAAUUUCUUAAAAAUUUGGUCUAGUUAAUAGAACAAAAAAUAAGAAGAAAACAAAAGAAUUAGUAUAAUUACUACUUUGGCUGUUACUUUCCUAAUAUUUUUAAUAAUCCUAAAAUAACACUCAUGUGUUUAGACUUGUUAUUUUGAUUCAAACACAAAGUUGUUGGAUAAUGGAACUUUAAAAUUAGAAGAUAUUAGUAAUACUUGACAUCAUCUUAUAUUAUGGUUAAUGUCAAAUUCAAAGUGCCAAAUUUAUUUUCGGUGGUUCAUUUUUUGAUAUACAAAUUUAGAUAUUGGUUGCAAUUAAAAAUUAAACCAUUGAUAGUUUCUUCUAUACAUUUAAAUUAGUUUUAAUACAUUCAAAAUUUGUCAAUAAUAGAAAUAAAAGAAUUAAAGUAAAUAAAAUUUCCUUAAAUCAUUAAUGAAUCUAAAAUAAUUUUGUAGAUAUUUUAUUCAUUAAUAU
rnacentral:lncRNA from 1 species